rnacentral:lncRNA from 1 species
AGCAAUUGUUUUCUCUUCUCCUACCUCUAUUUUUUUUGAAGGAGUAUGUAUUGACAUGUAUUGAAAUACUACAAACAUAAUUCCUUUUUUUUCUUCCUCUUAUCCUUCUAUUUUUUCGUUCCUUUUUUUUCUUUUCUAUUUUUUUUUUCUUUUUCUGCCAACUUCUGAAACAUUACAAAUAUAGUUAUUCAACCCCACACAAGUCCAAACAACA